rnacentral:rRNA from 1 species
AAUCUUGCGCAAUGGGCGAAAGCCUGACGCAGCCAUGCCGCGUGAAUGAUGAAGGUUNNNGGAUUNUNAAAUUCUUUCCCCGGNGGNNAUAAUGACGGUACCAGGAGAAUAAGCCCCGGCUAACUUCGUGCCAGCAGCGGCGGGAAUACGAAGGGGGCUAGGGUUCAGCGGAAUUACUGGGCGUAAAGGGCGCGUAGGCGGACAUUUAAGUCAGGGGUGAAAUCCCAGAGCUCAACUCUGGAACUGCCUUUGAUACUGGGUGUCUUGAGUGUGAGAGAGGUAUGUGGAACUCCGAGUGUAGAGGUGAAAUUCGUAGAUAUUCGGAAGAACACCAGUGGCGAAGGCGACAUACUGGCUCAUUACUGACGCUGAGGCGCGAAAGCGUGGGGAGCAAACA